rnacentral:rRNA from 1 species
AACGAACGUUAGCGGCGCGCUUAACACAUGCAAGUCGAGCGAGAAAGGGCUUCGGCCCCGGUAAAGCGGCGCACGGGUGAGUAACACGUAGGUAAUCUGCCCUCAGGUGGUGGAUAACUUUCCGAAAGGAAGGCUAAUACAGCAUGAGACCACGGUUCCGAAAGGGACAGGGGUCAAAGCCGGCCAAUUCAUGAAAGCUGGUGCCAGAGGAUGAGCCUGCGGCCCAUCAGCUAGUUGGUAGGGUAAUGGCCUACCAAGGCGAAGACGGGUAGCUGGUCUGAGAGGAUGAGCAGCCACACUGGAACUGAGACACGGUCCAGACUCCUACGGGAGGCAGCAGUGGGGAAUCUUGCGCAAUGGGCGAAAGCCUGACGCAGCGACGCCGCGUGAGUGAUGAAGGCCCUCGGGUUGUAAAGCUCUGUGGAGGGGGACGAAUAAGGGUUGGCUAAUAUCCAACUUGAUGACGGUACCCCUUUAGCAAGCACCGGCUAACUCUGUGCCAGCCGCCGCUGUAACAC